ACCGUCGACAGUCAGGUAACGAGCGAGACCCCUGCGUCUAGUUGCUACCAUUACUCUCUGGAGCAGUGGAGCGAAUUAGACGGACCGCCACAGUUAAUGUGGAGGAAGGAAGGGGCCACGGCAGGUCAGUAUGCCCCGAAACCCUAGGGCUACACGCGGGCUGCAAUGGUAUUGACAAUGCGUUCCGAAUCCGAAAGGAGGAGGCAAUCAUCAAACAAUAUCUCAGUUAUGACUGAGGGCUGUAACUCGCCCUCACGAAUAUGGAAUCCCUAGUAACCGCGCGUCACUACCGCGCGGUGAAUACGUCCCUGCUCCUUGCACGAAUUCGCCG
rnacentral:rRNA from 1 species